CCUUCCUUGUUGUGCCAUUUCAUAUGUUCCUAUGACCUUUCUUUCAGUUCAAAGUGAGGAAAUUCAAUUCAGAGAAUUUAAAAAUAUUUAAAGUUAUUUCUUUUUUUAAUUGAGGGGGAAGUUGAAAUAUAAAUCUCAUUCAUGUGUUCUCCUUUUACAACCAGUUUCCAAGGAGACAGAACUGGACCAUUUGUCAGUAACUAUUGAAGGUCCAUCUCAUUACUCAUCAAAUAGCGAAGGAUUGUGUUCUGUGUUCAGUUCUCCCAAAACUCCUGGAAGCUUUUCAUUAAACAUUCCUUCCAACCUGAAGAAGCCAGGCGAGAUGACAGUUUGUCUUCUACCAGUGAAGACUCUGAGAAGGAUGAAAAGGAUGAAGACCAUGAGAGGGAAAGGUUUUAUAUUUACAGGAAACCCUCACAUACAUCUCAUAAAAAAGCAACAGGCUUUGCUGCUGUUCAUCAGCUAUUUACAGAUCGCUGGCCAACAACACCAGUCAACCAAAGUCUUACUGGCACAGCUACUGAG
rnacentral:lncRNA from 1 species